GAUGAACGCUGGCGGCGUGCUUAACACAUGCAAGUCGAACGGGAAGGCCCAAUCUUGCUUGGGUACUCGAGUGGCGAACGGGUGAGUAACACGUGGGUGAGGUGCCCUGCACUGCGGGAUAAGGCUAGGAAACUGGGUGUAAUACCGGAUAGGACGGUGGUUGGGAUGCCAGUGGGGAAAGUUUUUUCGGUGUGGGGUGGGCGCGCGGCCUAUCAGCUUGUUGGUGGGGUAAUGGACUACCAAGGCGGCGACGGGUAGCCGGCCUGAGAGGGUGUACGGACACACUGGGCCGGGACUACGGCCCAGCCUCCUACGGGAGGCAGGAGUGGGGAAUAUUGUACAAUGGGCGGAAGCAUGACGCAGCGAAGCCGCGUGGGGGAUGACGGCAUUGGGGUUGUAAACUCCUCUCGCUAGGGACGAAGAGUUUUUGUGACGGUACCUGGAGAAGAAGCACCGGCUAACUACGUG
rnacentral:rRNA from 1 species